UACCAGCACCCCGAGUGGUCGGGACGAUUAUUGGGCCUAAAGCAUCCGUAGCCGGUUCUACAAGUCUUCCGUUAAAUCCACCUGCUUAACAGAUGGGCUGCGGAGGAUACUAUAGAGCUAGGAGGCGGGAGAGGCAAGCGGUACGUUAGUGGGUAGGGGUAAAAUCCGUUGAUCCAUUGAAGACCACCAGUGGCGAAGGCGGCUUGCCAGAACGCACUCGACGGUGAGGGAUGAAAGCUGGGGGAGCAAACCGG
rnacentral:rRNA from 1 species